CCUCAUCGAUCUGGUCGGGGCAGAUGAAGUGGACGUGGGUGUCGAUCCCGCCGGCGGUAAGGAUCCUGCCCUUGCCCGCGAUGACCUCGGUGUCGGGACCGAUGACGAAGUCGGUGGGCUUUGGCCCGAUACCGUUGUGGCUGAGCCCGUCCUCGUGCAGACGGUUCAUCGUCUCGGGGUUGUACGCCUUGCCGAGCGCGACGAUGUCGCCGUCGCGGAUGGCGACAUCGGCCUUGACGAUGCCCCAGUGGUCCAGGACGACAACGCCGGUGAUGACGGUGUCAGGAGGGAGGCCCGCAGCACUGCCGGCUGACGUAUCCGUCUUGCCCCUGCCGGGG
rnacentral:sRNA from 1 species